rnacentral:rRNA from 1 species
UACGUAGGUGGCAAGCGUUGUCCGGAUUUACUGGGCGUAAAGGGCGUGCAGGCGGUCUGUUAAGUGCAGGGUGAAAGCUCCCGGCUCAACUGGGAGAGGUCCUUGCAUACUGGCGGACUUGAGGGGGGUAGAGGAAAGUGGAAUUCCCGGUGUAGUGGUGAUAUGCGUAGAUAUCGGGAGGAACACCUGUGGCGAAGGCGGCUUUCUGGGCCCUACCUGACGCUGAGAUGCGAAAGCGUGGGGAGCAAACAGG